AAAUGAGUAAACACAAGUGACACAAUAAAAUGUACUUAAUACAUGAACUUGUGAACAUUGUCUACAUGAGAAGUUAAUAGAUAGUAGUCAAUUACAUCAUAUAAUUUGGUUCUAUACUCUUUUGUGUAUAUAUCCUGAAUGAUACCCCUUUGUGAUCAACUCUUUGUCCUCCAAAUCGAAUGGCACAGCUACUGCCCCUUGUGGAAAAAGAAAGGGUUCUGUAAUACCCAUAAAUGUAAAAGGAAAACAUCAUGUGAUGCAUCUCAACCUGCGCAAAACAAUGUAAAAAACAUACAUGCUAUCUACAUACCCUCAUUGUCUAGCAAAACAUAAGUAGCUGAGGGACCCUAUACAAAAGAAUUGACAAUUAGUAAGAAAGAAGCAUGCCACUUUACAUGGAACAAAAAAAUUGAUUAUUAUGGUGAGCGCAGAAUAACAUGAAGUUGUCAUGUGCAGCCAACAACUGCAGCUAUCUGUAUAGGCUACUGCUACUUUACAAUCUAUAUUGACAGGAAUAUUUGUGAAGUCAUUCAAAUCUAUCUUAAGUGAAAACAUGCUUAUAAGGCAUACUUAAUUCUCUCUGUUGUUCAUUUUCCUUUUGAUGUCACUUUAUUCAUAUGGUAAAUAUGAGUUUAAUCAUCAGUAGACAGAAACUUUGUGUGAAUCAAAAUACCAAGUUUAGUAUGGAAACUAUAGUUUCUCCAUAUGUCAUUAUUUCAAGACAAAGCAUGUUAUUCACACCCACUUAGAAUCAUAAUUUCCAGUAAACUUUCCAUACAGCAAUAUCAAUAAAAAGGCUUCUGUUCUUUACCUUUAAUAGAAGAGGCAACUGGCUGAGGCUGCCCUAGCAUGAGGUCAAACUGUCGAUUGCAGAGCUGAAGCGCUAUUGAAAGUAAUUACAUCACCUGCUCGAUGUACAAAAUAACCAUUAUAUCAUAUAUCAUAUUUUACGGUUAAAACUGCAAAAGGAGUAGAGAACGGCAAAAGGGCACUACACAAUUUAGUCAACAAACUAAGUUUAGAGGCGCAAAUGUAUGAUGGAGCUAGCGCACGAAUUCCUUUCGCUGGUCUCGGUGUGAAUUACGUAGCCUGACAACUAAAUUUCAAAUCAUGGCAUGAUGGCAAGCAAGGAAAAGGUGCCAAUUCACCACCACUACCAAAUUCCUCCACAUCCAGCUAACUUUUAUGGCUUCAUGCCAACAUUGGCCAACUCCUUUAACAUGUAGUAGAAACAAAUGAUUUAAUUUAUAUCAUACAGUAAAAUCUUCCCUCAAGUCUGAAAGUACCACAGACCCUGAUGUAAGGAGCAGAAUAAAUUUAAACCAUCAGGCGCAUUGUAUCUAAAAUCAGGGCCAACCUCUCAAAUAUAUAUAUGGUGUUCUUGUCCUCGAGAAAUAGAAAAGCGAGUUAUAUACAAGGAAAAUGUACCAAAAGCAAGGUGAGUUAGUUGUUUCAAACAUGCAGUCCUUGCUAAACAUUUAGCCGAAAGAAGUAGAAUAACUAACCCAUCACUAAUGCUUAAGUACAGUAUCUGAUUUUUUUUCUGGCCAUGCAAACAUGUAAAUAUUUAGCAGAUAUGUAGACUAAAGUGUCAACUAAAAAACCCUGUCCGCAAUUGGAAGAAACAUAAUCAGUCUAGAAUAAGCAUUGGUAGCUAGAUAAAUUACUUAUUUCAAGUUGACUGCUAUUUCUUUUAGGAAGCAAAUCAUGGUAGGAAGUCAACUAUUAAAUGGCAAGAAGAUGAUUGUCCAGCAGUUUUUCCUCUGGUUGAUUUCGGGUAAAACAGAGAGGCCAUACCAGCUACACUUCCUCAUUUGUAAAUUACCGACGCUUGUUCUUGUUUUGAUUCAUUUAGGCUGGCUAUCUUCUUGCUGCUUGAACCACAAGUUAUUUUCUCUUUCUUGAGACCUCUACAUAGAUAGAGGAAAAUCAAGAAGAUGAAAAUUCCAUUAGAGAUCAAAAUAUCGACCUUCACUAUCACAACCAGUCAUAGAAAGUUAAAACUGAAGAGCAGAAAAAUUCGUUGAAUGAACCAGAGAUGCGGUGUCAACUUUCUUAAAUUCCAGUUAAGAUUUUUUUACAUUCUAAAAGAGUGAUCAUGCAUGCCAUUUUACCUUUUUGUUAUCCCAAUUCCAUGGAUAAAUGAAUUAAUUGUAGUUGCUGACACUCCCCGUUACCGUAGCCUUGCCAAUGCUUGAGAAAUCUGUCAAAGGGAAACUUGCAACAUCAUUAACCUAACAAUGAUUCUGAAAGAUACUACAGCGCUAAGUCUGUUUACGAUACCUACACAAAAGAUGCUUUAAUAAUCGUAGAUUUGAUAUUACCAUCAUACUAUACUUGGUCAGCUAAAUAAUCCUCCCACCAGCCAUAAGAGGAACUUAACAAAGUAAGCUAACAAAAAAAUUUAAGAAACAAGAACAAGCUGAACAUCGCAAGGCAAAACACUCCGGCAUGAUUAGAUAUGGCACUGUCGUCAACAAUGAUAACUUUACAACACGUCAACAUGUCAUCGAAGAGGAACUCACCUAGCACAACCAGCAUGUUGAGAUUGUUUUCUUUGUCUCUUCUUCAGACAAAUCCAAAUUGCCCACAUGCUCAUGUUCAAAGCAUCUGUUCUCAACAUCAAGAGGAAACAGUAAAAGAAGAUUUUGUGUACAUGUUCUUAUCAGCAGUAAAUUGGGGCAAAUAAGACAAAAAUUAAACACAUGUUCUUAGCAGGAGUAAAUGCAAAUAAUACAGAAAUCCUAUGUGCUACUGUAAUAAUGCUGAAAUUUAGCACAGUAGAAACACAUAUAACAUCAAACACCUAGAGAUAGAUCAAGUGGAAACAACCAGCAUGCAGACGGGAAACACAUAUAACAACAACCACUUAGAGAUAGUCAAUAUAGCAAACAUAUAUAGAACCAAUAAAGUUGGAGGCGUACCUGCCAGCCUGCAAGAUCUCUCUCGCACACCAAAAUAACACGGCCUCCUGCAGAACAAAGGGAUCUAAGAAUGGCCCAUAAAACCAAGCGAUAUAGCAGUGGAAGGGAGCAAACCUUAAUCACAGCAGGCCGCUAGCAACUGAUGGAUUGAAUAGCACCUACAGGAAGAACACGGUAAUGCACAUAUCAAAAAGCGGCCAGAACAUGGACUGUAUGGACUGCAUAUCCUACUGAAAAGAAGAACCAGUUGGAGGUUCGUGGCAUGGAAGGAGUGGACAGAGACCUCCAUGUCAGAUCUAGCAGCACAUAUCCUCUUGUCUUCUCCUCUGCGCAUCGUCAUGGAAGGAAGCCUCCUCCUCGCUAACC
rnacentral:lncRNA from 1 species